GUACCUGCGGUGAAGACGAGAGGACACGAGUGGAAGAGCUGAAGGAGGAGCUUCGGAAAACCGCAGGAGUCAAAGGAAAACAUCUGAAUGAUCAGGAGAAGUUUUUAUCAAAGAACGGCUGACCUGAAAACAACUUUAAAGGACAUCUGCAGACUUUAGUCUGGAUCUGUUUAUCCUGAGUCAUUGGAUCUGACAAUCAGCUGCACUGAAGACAAAAGAUGACGUGUAGAGAGGAGAGGCAGUUCCAGAAUAAAUCUUCAACAAAACUCUUCAUGAGACGCUGAAGACGAGGACGGCGGUAGUGGCGGCGGCGGCGGCGUUUGAGCUUUCUGCCGACCGAGCAAAACCUGCAGAGACUUCGUCUGCUGCGAGUCUUCUUAGCGCCGUCUUCGCCAAACUCCCUUCACAACCAAAUUAUUUAGCUGUGUUUAUUUCCCAGAGCCUGCUGGCGCCAGGCACCAAUACUCCCCAAAGCGCAGCAGCUUCUCCGUUCAUCUCCUUCACUCGAGGUGUUUCAAACUCAACCGCCGCCUCACGUUUCUGCUCCUCUGCUGUUUAUUUGCUGUUUUUGUUUCUCUCUGGUUUCAUUUUUCUUCCAGGAACUGAAGCAGCAGAAAACAAACUUUCUGAGGGGAAAAGAGCCACACAGGCGGAUUGUCUUCGAGAAGAGUCAGAGGAGGACGUCUGCAGAGAACCCCCCAAAUUCUUCAAUGGGUUUCAGCUGUCCCGUAAUCGACGCUUCGCUCACGAGCCGUUAAAACAGCUGAGAUGUUUGACGCGGGGAACUCCGAGAGGAGCAGACGUUUGUCUCCAGGAUUCCAGCCACAAAACCAGAAGAUGAUGGAGGAGCUUCAUCACAGGAAACGCCGCUGAAACCUUUCAGCACGCCGUUCAGUCGCAGUCCGCACCUAUUGUGCCGUAGAAAAAACAAAACCGGGCUUUAAGGAAGAUGUUUAUGCAGGAGAUGACAGCUCACAGCAUCUCAGAGGAUAUGAUCCGGUUCUGCACAGAACUUUAAAAACGUUCAGGUCUGGCAAGAAAAAAAGAUGGAGAUUUCUCCUCAAGUCCAAGUGUGUCUGAUGAUCGUCUGGAGGUGAAGUCACAGCCUGGAGGAACUGAGGAGCUUUGGUGGGUUACCAGAUCAUCAAACCCAAAGACAGAAGAAAAGGAUCUGAUCUGAUCCUCUGGGAUCAAUGGAGAAGCUGCAGGGAUUGGAUCCAGAAGCAGAAGUUUCUUCAGGACUGCGACUCGUGGAGGGAAAGUCUACGACGCUUUUUCUUCACUGGUUUACACGAGUCACAGGACUCGCUUCAGAGUUUAGAAAAAUGGGACUAAUUUUCUUUCAAAAUAGUCUGUAAGCCUGUCUAACUGAUUUUUUUAUAUUGUAA